GAUAUAGCUCAGUUGGCAGACUGCUUGCCUUUGAAGCACAAAGCCCUGGGUUCAAUCCCCAGCA
rnacentral:tRNA from 1 species